UACAGAGGGUGCGAGCGUUAAUCGGAAUUACUGGGCGUAAAGGGUGCGUAGGUGGUUAAAUAAGUUAGGUGUGAAAGUCCCGGGCUUAACCUGGGGAUUGCGCCUGAUACUGUUAAGCUAGAGUACUGUAGAGGAGAGUGGAAUUUCCGGUGUAGCGGUGAAAUGCGUAGAGAUCGGAAGGAACACCAGUGGCGAAGGCGACUCUCUGGACAGUGACUGACACUGAGGCACGAAAGCAUGGGUAGCAAACAGG
rnacentral:rRNA from 1 species